AUACGGAGGAUGCGAGCGUUAUCCGGAUUUAUUGGGUUUAAAGGGUGCGUAGGCGGCUUUGUAAGUCAGCGGUGAAAUUUUGCAGCUUAACUGUAAAAGUGCCUUCGAAACUGGUUUCCUUGAGUGUAGAUGAAGUAGGCGGAAUUUGUGGUGUAGCGGUGAAAUGCAUAGAUAUCACGAGGAACUCCGAUUGCGCAGGCAGCGUACCAGACCGCAAAUGACGCUCAUGCACGAAAGUGCGGGGAUCGAACAGGAUUAGAUACCCUGGUAGUCCGCACAGUAAACGAUGAAUACUUGUUUUCGGCGAUAUAAUGUCGGAGGCAAAGCGAAAGCGAUAAGUAUUCCACCUGGGGAGUACGCCGGCAACGGUGAAACUCAAAGGAAUUGACGGGG
rnacentral:rRNA from 1 species